rnacentral:rRNA from 1 species
GACGUAGGUGGCGAACGUUAUCCGGAAUUAUUGGGCGUAAAGGGUGCGUAGGCGGCGGAGUAAGUUGGGUGUGAAAUCCCGGGGCUCAACCUCGGAAUUGCAUUCAAUACUGCUUCGCUAGAGUACUGGAGAGGAGGCUGGAAUUACGGUGUAGCAGUGAAAUGCGUAGAUAUCGUAAGGAAGGCCGGUGGCGAAAGCGAGCCUCUGGACAGUUACUGACGCUGAUGCACGAAGGCCAGGGGAGCAAACGGG